GACACACGGAAGGUGAAGGUUGGGGUCGAUGGAUUUGGUCGUGCUGGGUGCCUGGUCAUCAGGGCUGCUUUUAACUCUGGUAAAGUGGAUAUUGUCACCAUCAAUGACCCCUUCAUUGCCCUCAACUGCACGGUCUACAUGUUCCAGUAUGAGUCCACCCACGGCAAAUUCCAUGGCACCAUCAAGGCUGAGAACGGGAAGCUUGUCAUCAAUAGAAAUCCCAUCACCAUCUUCCAGGAGCGAGGUCCCUCCAAAAUCAAGUGGGGCGAUGCUGGCACUGAGUACAUCGUGGAGUCCACUGCCAUCUUCACCACCAUAGAGAAGGCCGGGGCUCACAUGCAGUGGGGAGCCAAAAGGGGCAUCAUCUCUGCCUCCUCUGCUGACGCCCCCAUGUUCGUGAUGGGCGUGAACCAUGAGAAAUAUGACAAUAGCCUCAAGAUUGUCAGCAAUGCCUCCUGCACCACCAGCUGCUUAGCGCCCCAAGUUCAUCCGUGACAACUUUGGUAUCGUGGAAGGACUCACGACCACAGUCCACGCCAUCACUGCCACCCAGAAGACUGUGGAUGGCCCCUCCGGGAAACUGUGGCGUGAUGGCCACAGGGCUCUCCAGAAUGUCAUCCCUGCCUCUACUGGUGCUGCCAAGGCUGUGGGCAAGGCUGAACUGAACGGGAAGCUCACUGGCAUGGCCUUCUGUGUCCCCACUGCCAACAUGUCAGUGGUGGACCUGACCUGCCGUCUGGAAAAACCGCCAAAUAUGAUGACAUCAAGAAGGUGGUGAAGCAGGCGUCGGAGGGCCCCCUCAAGGGCAUCCUGGGCUACACUGAGCACCAGGUGGUCUCCUCCGACUUCAACAGCGACACCCACUCUUUCACCUUCAAUGCUGGGGCUGGCACAGACCUCAGCAAUCACUUUGUCAAGCUCAUUUCCUGGUAUGACAACGAAUUUGGCUACAGCAACAGGGUGGUGGACCUCAUGGCCCACAUGACCUCCAAGGAGUAAGACCCCUGGACCACCAGCCCCAGCGAGAGUACAAGAGGAAGAGAGAGGCCCUCACUGCUGGGAGUCCCUGCCACACUCAGUCCCCCACCACACUGAAUCUCCCCUCCUCACAGUUUCCAUGCAGACCCCUUGAAGAGGGAGGGGCCUGAGGAGCCUCACCUUGUCGUCUACCAUCAGUAAAGUCCCUGUGCUCAGCCAAAAAUAAAAAAUAAAAUACACAUCAUGGUGAAAAGGAAUUUGAAGAGAAAAAAAUGAAAACACCAUUGGCAUAUUUAGGAGUAAAGGGCUGCAACUUUCACACAGUUCAGAAAAGAAAACAUUUGAGAGAGAGAGAAAGCAAAUAUGGUAAAAGGUUAACAACUGGAAGAUCUGAGUGUAGGGUGUAUAGAAAUUAUUUGCACGACUGCAACUCUUUUUCUUUUCUUUUGUUUUUUAGAGACCAGAGUCUCACUAGGUUGUGUAGGCUGGUCUCAUACCCCUGGGCUGAAGCAAUGCUCCCACCUCAGCCUCCACAGUAGCUGGGACUGCAGGCAUACACAUUGCACUGGGCGCAACUUUUCUUAAAGACAAAAAUUAUGUCAAAAUGAAAUGCUUUUUAGGUGAAGAGAAUAUCUGUCUUACCUACUUCAUAGAAUUUUGGGGAAGAUCAAAUAAAAUCUUGUGAGUGAAAGAGCUUUGAAAACUAAGUUUCCCUACAAAUGUAAAACUUAAUUACUACUGAAAAGAGCUUUAUACUUUAACAAAUGUAAAACAAUUAUUUUUACUGCAUUUUUUGUAGCUUCCACAGAGAAAAAAUCUAGUUCUGUAUCCAUUUACUCAGUUACUACUCUUUUAAGAGAAGGGUUGGCUGCUCGGUUUCGUUGCUUUAGGAGGGUCAGUGAGCAACAGUAACUUUAUUAUCUCAUUUAUUGCAGAAAUCUACAGCCUAAAAUAUUGUCUCUUGUUCUACAUUUACUGCCUGAGUCUAAAUGACCUUCAAGUUCCUUCCCAACACUGGAAUUUCAUGAUUUAAUGAAAGUAACACAGAAAAGCCACUGGCAGGAGGGCUCAUGCAUUUUUUCUUUUUUUUUUUCUUUUGAGACAAUUGCUGUGUCAUCCAGGCUGGAGUGCAGUGACGC